ACUAAGCGUACACGGUGGAUGCCUAGGCAGUCAGAGGCGAUGAAGGGCGUGCUAAUCUGCGAAAAGCGUCGGUAAGCUGAUAUGAAGCGUAAUAACCGACGAUACCCGAAUGGGGAAACCCAGUGCAAUUCGUUGCACUAUUGCAUGGUGAAUACAUAGCCAUGCAAGGCGAACCGGGGGAACUGAAACAUCUAAGUACCCCGAGGAAAAGAAAUCAACCGAGAUUCCCCCAGUAGCGGCGAGCGAACGGGGAAGAGCCCAGAGUCUGAAUCAGUUGGUGUGUUAGUGGAAGCGUCUGGAAAGUCGCACGGUACAGGGUGAUAGUCCCGUACACAAAAACACACUGGCUGUGAACUCGAUGAGUAGGGCGGGACACGUGACAUCCUGUCUGAAUAUGGGGGGACCAUCCUCCAAGGCUAAAUACUCCUGACUGACCGAUAGUGAACCAGUACCGUGAGGGAAAGGCGAAAAGAACCCCGGCGAGGGGAGUGAAAUAGAACCUGAAACCGUGUACGUACAAGCAGUGGGAGCACCUUCGUGGUGUGACUGCGUACCUUUUGUAUAAUGGGUCAGCGACUUAUAUUUUGUAGCAAGGUUAACCGAAUAGGGGAGCCGUAGGGAAACCGAGUCUUAACUGGGCGUCUAGUUGCAAGGUAUAGACCCGAAACCCGGUGAUCUAGCCAUGGGCAGGUUGAAGGUUGGGUAACACUAACUGGAGGACCGAACCGACUAAUGUUGAAAAAUUAGCGGAUGACUUGUGGCUGGGGGUGAAAGGCCAAUCAAACCGGGAGAUAGCUGGUUCUCCCCGAAAGCUAUUUAGGUAGCGCCUCGUGAACUCAUCUUCGGGGGUAGAGCACUGUUUCGGCUAGGGGUCCAUCCCGGAUUACCAAACCGAUGCAAACUCCGAAUACCGAAGAAUGUUAUCACGGGAGACACACGGCGGGUGCUAACGUCCGUCGUGAAGAGGGAAACAACCCAGACCGCCAGCUAAGGUCCCAAAGUCAUGGUUAAGUGGGAAACGAUGUGGGAAGGCAUAGACAGCCAGGAUGUUGGCUUAGAAGCAGCCAUCAUUUAAAGAAAGCGUAAUAGCUCACUGGUCGAGUCGGCCUGCGCGGAAGAUGUAACGGGGCUAAACCAUGCACCGAAGCUGCGGCAGCGACGCUUAGGCGUUGUUGGGUAGGGGAGCGUUCUGUAAGCCGUUGAAGGUGGCCUGUGAGGGCUGCUGGAGGUAUCAGAAGUGCGAAUGCUGACAUAAGUAACGAUAAUGCGGGUGAAAAACCCGCACGCCGGAAGACCAAGGGUUCCUGUCCAACGUUAAUCGGGGCAGGGUGAGUCGACCCCUAAGGCGAGGCUGAAAAGCGUAGUCGAUGGGAAACAGGUUAAUAUUCCUGUACUGGGUGUGACUGCGAAGGGGGGACGGAGAAGGCUAGGCUAGCCGGGCGACGGUUGUCCCGGUUUAAGCAUGUAGGCGGAGCGACUUGGUAAAUCCGGUUGCUUAUCAACGCUGAGGUGUGAUGACGAGCCACUACGGUGGUGAAGUAGUUGAUGCCAAGCUUCCAGGAAAAGCCUCUAAGCAUCAGGUGACAUUCAAUCGUACCCCAAACCGACACAGGUGGUCAGGUAGAGAAUACUCAGGCGCUUGAGAGAACUCGGGUGAAGGAACUAGGCAAAAUGGUGCCGUAACUUCGGGAGAAGGCACGCUGGCAUUAGGUAAAGAGACUUGCUCUCGGCGCCGAAGCCAGUCGCAGAUACCAGCUGGCUGCAACUGUUUAAUAAAAACACAGCACUGUGCAAACACGAAAGUGGACGUAUACGGUGUGACGCCUGCCCGGUGCUGGAAGGUUAAUUGAUGGGGUCAGCCGCAAGGCGAAGCUCUUGAUCGAAGCCCCAGUAAACGGCGGCCGUAACUAUAACGGUCCUAAGGUAGCGAAAUUCCUUGUCGGGUAAGUUCCGACCUGCACGAAUGGCGUAAUGAUGGCCAGGCUGUCUCCACCCGAGACUCAGUGAAAUUGAACUCGCUGUGAAGAUGCAGUGUACCCGCGGCAAGACGGAAAGACCCCGUGAACCUUUACUAUAGCUUGACACUGAAUAUUGAGCCUUGAUGUGUAGGAUAGGUGGGAGGCAUCGAAGCGUGGACGCCAGUCUGCGUGGAGCCAACCUUGAAAUACCACCCUUUAAUGUUUGAUGUUCUAACUCGGCCCCAUAAUCUGGGGUGAGGACAGUGUCUGGUGGGUAGUUUGACUGGGGCGGUCUCCUCCCAAAGAGUAACGGAGGAGCACGAAGGUUAGCUAAUCACGGUCGGACAUCGUGAGGUUAGUGCAAAGGCAUAAGCUAGCUUGACUGCGAGAGUGACGGCUCGAGCAGGUACGAAAGUAGGUCUUAGUGAUCCGGUGGUUCUGAAUGGAAGGGCCAUCGCUCAACGGAUAAAAGGUACUCCGGGGAUAACAGGCUGAUACCGCCCAAGAGUUCAUAUCGACGGCGGUGUUUGGCACCUCGAUGUCGGCUCAUCACAUCCUGGGGCUGAAGUAGGUCCCAAGGGUAUGGCUGUUCGCCAUUUAAAGUGGUACGCGAGCUGGGUUUAGAACGUCGUGAGACAGUUCGGUCCCUAUCUGCCGUGGGCGUUGGAAGAUUGAGAGGGGCUGCUCCUAGUACGAGAGGACCGGAGUGGACGCAUCACUGGUGUUCGGGUUGUCAUGCCAAUGGCAUUGCCCGGUAGCUAAAUGCGGAAAAGAUAAGCGCUGAAAGCAUCUAAGCGCGAAACUUGCCUCGAGAUGAGUCUUCCCUGGGGCUUUAAGCCCCCUGAAGGAACGUUAAAGACUAUGACGUUGAUAGGCUGGGUGUGUAAGUGCAGCGAUGCAUUGAGCUAACCAGUACUAAUGAUCCGUGAGGCUUAACC
rnacentral:rRNA from 1 species